rnacentral:rRNA from 1 species
UACGGGGGGAGCAAGCGUUGUUCGGAUUUACUGGGCGUAAAGGGCGUGUAGGCGGCCACUGCAAGUCGGUUGUGAAAUCUCCGGGCUUAACUCGGAAAGGUCAAUCGAUACUGCAGGGCUAGAGUGCAGAAGGGGCAACUGGAAUUCUCGGUGUAGCGGUGAAAUGCGUAGAUAUCGAGAGGAACACCUGCGGCGAAGGCGGGUUGCUGGGCUGACACUGACGCUGAACUGCGAAAGCUAGGGGAGCGAACGGG